GGCAUCGUGGUGUAAUGGUCAGCACGCUCGACGCGUAACCGAGAGGUCCAUGGUUCAAUUCCCGGCGAAGGCG
rnacentral:tRNA from 1 species